CAAGAAAGAAGAUUCU
rnacentral:sRNA from 1 species